rnacentral:pre_miRNA from 1 species
AGUAAAAUUACUGGAUUAUAUGGUAAAUCUAUGUUUAAUUUUUUGAGCAACAGCCAUACUGUUUUUCAUAGUAGCUGCACCAUGAUACAUUCCCACUAGCAAU